rnacentral:rRNA from 1 species
UGGGGAAUAUUGCGCAAUGGGGGAGCCUUGACGCAGCCAUGACGCGUGAAUGAAGAAGGCCUAAGGGUUGUAAAGUUCUUUCGGUAUUGAGGAAGGUUGAUGUGUUAAUAGCACAUCAAAUUGACGUUAAAUACAGAAGAAGCACCGGCUAACUCCGAUGCCAGCAGCCGCGGUAAUACGGAGGGUGCGAGCGUUAAUCGGAAUAACUGGGCGUAAAGGGCACGCAGGCGGUUAUUUAAGUGAGGUGUGAAAGCCCCGGGCUUAACCUGGGAAUUGCAUUUCAGUCUGGGUAACUAGAGUACUUUAGGGAGGGGUAGAAUUCCACGUGUAGCGGUGAAAUGCGUAGAGAUGUGGAGGAAUACCGAAGGCGAAGGCAGCCCCUUGGGAAUGUACUGACGCUCAUGUGCGAAAGCGUGGGGAGCAAACAGGAUUAGAUACCCUGGUAGUCCACGCUGUAAACGCUGUCGAUUUGGGGGUUGGGGUUUAACUCUGGCGGCCGUAGCUAACGUGAUAAAUCGACCGCCUGGGGACCNNGGCANNAAGGUUA